CUGGGAGGACCAUCUCCUAAGGCUAAAUACUCUCUAGUGACCGAUAGUGAACCAGUACCGUGAGGGAAAGGUGAAAAGCACCCCGGAAGGGGAGUGAAAUAGAACCUGAAACCGUGUGCUUACAAGUAGUCAGAGCCCGUUAAUGGGUGAUGGCGUGCCUUUUGUAGAAUGAACCGGCGAGUUACGAUUUGAUGCAAGGUUAAGCAGUAAAUGUGGAGCCGUAGCGAAAGCGAGUCUGAAUAGGGCGUUUAGUAUUUGGUCGUAGACCCGAAACCAGGUGAUCUACCCUUGGUCAGGUUGAAGUUCAGGUAACACUGAAUGGAGGACCGAACCGACUUACGUUGAAAAGUGAGCGGAUGAACUGAGGGUAGCGGAGAAAUUCCAAUCGAACCUGGAGAUAGCUGGUUCUCUCCGAAAUAGCUUUAGGGCUAGCCUCAAGUGAUGAUUAUUGGAGGUAGAGCACUGUUUGGACGAGGGGCCCCUCUCGGGUUACCGAAUUCAGACAAACUCCGAAUGCCAAUUAAUUUAACUUGGGAGUCAGAACAUGGGUGAUAAGGUCCGUGUUCGAAAGGGAAACAGCCCAGACCACCAGCUAAGGUCCCAAAAUAUAUGUUAAGUGGAAAAGGAUGUGGCGUUGCCCAGACAACUAGGAUGUUGGCUUAGAAGCAGCCAUCAUUUAAAGAGUGCGUAAUAGCUCACUAGUCGAGUGACACUGCGCCGAAAAUGUACCGGGGCUAAACAUAUUACCGAAGCUGUGGAUUGUCCUUUGGACAAUGGUAGGAGAGCGUUCUAAGGGCGUUGAAGCAUGAUCGUAAGGACAUGUGGAGCGCUUAGAAGUGAGAAUGCCGGUGUGAGUAGCGAAAGACGGGUGAGAAUCCCGUCCACCGAUUGACUAAGGUUUCCAGAGGAAGGCUCGUCCGCUCUGGGUUAGUCGGGUCCUAAGCUGAGGCCGACAGGCGUAGGCGAUGGAUAACAGGUUGAUAUUCCUGUACCACCUAUAAUCGUUUUAAUCGAUGGGGGGGACGCAGUAGGAUAGGCGAAGCGUGCGAUUGGAUUGCACGUCUAAGCAGUAAGGCUGAGUAUUAGGCAAAUCCGGUACUCGUUAAGGCUGAGCUGUGAUGGGGAGAAGACAUUGUGUCUUCGAGUCGUUGAUUUCACACUGCCGAGAAAAGCCUCUAGAUAGAAAAUAGGUGCCCGUACCGCAAACCGACACAGGUAGUCAAGAUGAGAAUUCUAAGGUGAGCGAGCGAACUCUCGUUAAGGAACUCGGCAAAAUGACCCCGUAACUUCGGGAGAAGGGGUGCUCUUUAGGGUUAACGCCCAGAAGAGCCGCAGUGAAUAGGCCCAAGCGACUGUUUAUCAAAAACACAGGUCUCUGCUAAACCGUAAGGUGAUGUAUAGGGGCUGACGCCUGCCCGGUGCUGGAAGGUUAAGAGGAGUGGUUAGCUUCUGCGAAGCUACGAAUCGAAGCCCCAGUAAACGGCGGCCGUAACUAUAACGGUCCUAAGGUAGCGAAAUUCCUUGUCGGGUAAGUUCCGACCCGCACGAAAGGCGUAACGAUUUGGGCACUGUCUCAACGAGAGACUCGGUGAAAUCAUAGUACCUGUGAAGAUGCAGGUUACCCGCGACAGGACGGAAAGACCCCGUGGAGCUUUACUGUAGCCUGAUAUUGAAAUUCGGCACAGCUUGUACAGGAUAGGUAGGAGCCUUUGAAACGUGAGCGCUAGCUUACGUGGAGGCGCUGGUGGGAUACUACCCUAGCUGUGUUGGCUUUCUAACCCGCACCACUUAUCGUGGUGGGAGACAGUGUCAGGCGGGCAGUUUGACUGGGGCGGUCGCCUCCUAAAAG
rnacentral:rRNA from 1 species